AUUGAACGCUGGCGGCAGGCCUAACACAUGCAAGUCGAGCGGAGCGGCGGACGGGUGAGUAAUAUAUAGCUAAUCUGCCCCUUGCUGGAGGACAACAGUUAGAAAUGACUGCUAAUACUCCAUAGCAAGGGAUGAGACUAUAUCGUAUCAGCUAGUCGGUGGGGUAAUGGCCUACCGAGGCUAUGACGCGUAACUGGUCUGAGAGGAUGAUCAGUCACAUUGGAACUGAGACACGGUCCAAACUCCUACGGGAGGCAGCAGUAGGGAAUAUUGCGCAAUGGGGGAAACCCUGACGCAGCAACGCCGCGUGGAGGAUGACACUUUUCGGAGCGUAAACUCCUUUUGUUAGGGAAGCGGUACCUAACGAAUAAGCACCGGCUAACUCCGUGCCAGCAGCCGCGGUAAUUC
rnacentral:rRNA from 1 species